rnacentral:rRNA from 1 species
GACGAACGCUGGCGGCGUGCUUAACACAUGCAAGUCGAACGGAAAGGCCCUGCUUUUGUGGGGUGCUCGAGUGGCGAACGGGUGAGUAACACGUGAGUAACCUGCCCUUGACUUUGGGAUAACUUCAGGAAACUGGGGCUAAUACCGGAUAGGAGCUCCUGCUGCAUGGUGGGGGUUGGAAAGUUUCGGCGGUUGGGGAUGGACUCGCGGCUUAUCAGCUUGUUGGUGGGGUAGUGGCUUACCAAGGCUUUGACGGGUAGCCGGCCUGAGAGGGUGACCGGGCACAUUGGGACUGAGAUACGGCCCAGACUGCUACGGGAGGCAGCAGUGGGGAAUAUUGCACAAUGGGAGGAAGCCUGAUGCAGAAACGCCGCGUGCGGGAUGACGGCCUUCGGGUUGUAAACCGCUUUCGCCUGUGACGAAGCGUGAGUGACGGUAAUGGGUAAAGAAGCACCGGCUAACUACGUG